AUUGACAGGAUCUGUCCCUAGUACGAGAGGACCGGGAUGGACGUAUCUCUGGUGGACCUGUUGUGGCGCCAGCCGCAUAGCAGGGUAGCUAUAUACGGACGGGAUAACCGCUGAAGGCAUCUAAGCGGGAAACCCACCUGAAAACGAGUAUUCCCUAUCAGAGCCGUGGAAGACCACCACGUUGAUAGGCCGGGUGUGGAAGUGCGGCAACGCAUGCAGCUUACCGGUACUAAUAGCUCGAUCGACUUGAUCAC
rnacentral:rRNA from 1 species